rnacentral:rRNA from 1 species
CAGUCGCCGCGGGAAUACGGAGGGUGCAAGCGUUAAUCGGAAUUACUGGGCGUAAAGCGUGCGUAGGCGGUUCGUUAAGUCUGUUGUGAAAGCCCCGGGCUCAACCUGGGAAUGGCAAUGGAUACUGGCGAGCUAGAGUGUGUCAGAGGAUGGUGGAAUUCCCGGUGUAGCGGUGAAAUGCGUAGAGAUCGGGAGGAACAUCAGUGGCGAAGGCGGCCGUCUGGGACAACACUGACGCUGAGGCACGAAAGCGUGGGGAGCAAACAGGAUUAGAUACCCCUGUAGUCCCUGUCUCUUAUAC